rnacentral:tRNA from 1 species
UGGCUCAGUGGUGGAGUGUUUGCCUAGGAUGCAAACAGCUUUGAGUUCAAUCCUCAG